GGUCAAGUGAAGAAGCGCAUACGG
rnacentral:ncRNA from 2 species